AUAGGGUUUCACCAUGUUGGCCAGGCUGUUCUUUUUUUUUUUUUUUUUUUUUUGAGACAGAGUUUUGCUCUUGUUACCCAGGCUGGAGUGCAAUGGCGCGAUCUCGGCUCACUGCAACCUCCACCUCCUGGGUUCAGGCAAUUCUCCUGCCUCAGCCUCCUGAGUAGCUGGGAUUACAGGCACACACCACCAUGCCCAGCUAAUUUUUUGUAUUUUUAGUAGAGACGAGGCUUCACCAUGUUGACCAGGAUGGUCUCGAUCUCGUGACCUCGUGAUCCACCCGCCUUGGCCUCCCAAAGUGCUGGGAUUAUAGGCAUGAGCCACCGGGCCUGGCCUGGCCAGGCUGUUCUUGAACUUCUGACCCCAAGUGAUCCACCCACCUCAGCCUUCCAAAGUGCUGGGAUCACAGCUGUACGCCACAACGCCCAGCCAAACUUAAUUAAUUACUUUAUUUAUUUAUUUAUUUGAGAUGGAAUCUCACUUUGUUGCCCAGGCUGGAGUGCAGUGGUGCAAUCUCGGCUCACCACAACCUCUACCUCCCGGGUUCAAGUGAUUCUCCUGCCUCAGCCUCCUGAGUAGCUGGGACUACAGGCAUAUGCCACCAUGCCCGGCUAAUUUUUGUCUUUUUGGUAGAGACAGGGUUUCACUAUGUUGCCCAGGCUGGUCUUUUUUUGUUUUGUUUUUUUUUGAGAUGGAGUUUCGCUCUUGUUACCCAGGCUGGAGUGCAAUGGCGCGAUCUCGGCUCACCGCAACCUCCGUCUCCUGGGUUCAGGCAAUUCUCCUGCCUCAGCCUCCUGAGUAGCUGGGAUUACAGGCACGCGCCACCAUGCCCAGCUAAUUUUUGUAUUUUUUAGUAGAGACGGGGUUUCACCAUGUUGACCAGGAUGGUCUCCAUCUCUUGACCUCGAGAUCCACCCGCUUCGG
rnacentral:lncRNA from 13 species